AUUGAACGCUGGCGGCAGGCCUAACACAUGCAAGUCGAACGAGUGGCGGACGGGUGAGUAAUGUCUGGGAAACUGCCUGAUGGAGGGGGAUAACUACUGGAAACGGUAGCUAAUACCGCAUACCAUCAGAUGUGCCCAGAUGGGAUUAGCUAGUUGGUGGGGUAACGGCUCACCAAGGCGACGAUCCCUAGCUGGUCUGAGAGGAUGACCCGCCACACUGGAACUGGGACACGGUCCCGACUCCUACCGGAGGCAGGAGGUGGGAAUAUUUCAAAAAUGGCGGCAGCCUGAUUCAACCAAGCCGCGGUUAUGAAGAAGGCCUUCGGGUUGUAAAGUACUUUCAGCGGGGAGGCGUUACCCGCAGAAGAAGCACCGGCUAACUCCGUGCCAGCAGCCGCGGUAAUAC
rnacentral:rRNA from 1 species